rnacentral:rRNA from 1 species
CUACGUGCCAGCAGCCGCGGUAAUACGUAUGUCACAAGCGUUAUCCGGAUUUAUUGGGCGUAAAGCGCGUCUAGGUGGUUAUGUAAGUCUGAUGUGAAAAUGCAGGGCUCAACUCUGUAUUGCGUUGGAAACUGCAUGACUAGAGUACUGGAGAGGUAAGCGGAACUACAAGUGUAGAGGUGAAAUUCGUAGAUAUUUGUAGGAAUGCCGAUGGGGAAGCCAGCUUACUGGACAGAUACUGACGCUAAAGCGCGAAAGCGUGGGUAGCAAACAGGAUUAGAUACCCUGGUAGUCCACGCCGUAAACGAUGAUUACUAGGUGUUGGGGGUCGAACCUCAGCGCCCAAGCUAACGCGAUAAGUAAUCCGCCUGGGGAGUACGUACGCAAGUAUGAAACUCAAAGAAAUUGACGGGGACCCGCACAAGCGGUGGAGCAUGUGGUUUAAUUCGACGCAACGCGAGGAACCUUACCAGCGUUUGACAUC